rnacentral:lncRNA from 1 species
UAGCGCGCAGGGAAGGCUGGUCACCCCACCCUAAUCUUGUUAUGCAAAUAGGCUUCCCACUUGGCAGGGGCCGUCUUGUCCACUCGUUUCUGUAAACAUGGGUGGCAAAAAGAGAAGAUGGAGCUGCCAUUUAGAACAUGCCUAAUCCCAGCUUCAUCUUGCUGAGCAAAAAUGAAGGAGCCUGGACCCAACUUUGUUACUGUGAGAAAGGGUCUUCAUUCAUUCAAGAUGGCAUUUGUUAAGCACCUACUUCUCUUUCUGUCACCUAGGCUGGAGUGCAGUGGUUCAAUCACGGAUCACUGCAGCCUCCACCUCCCAGUUCAAGAAAUUCUCAUGUCUCAGCCUCCUGAGCAGCUAGGAUUACAGACAAACCUUGGAAAUCAAGAAAGUUCUGGAAUGAUGAAGCUGUUCAUGCCAAGACCGAAAGUGCUGGCCCAGUAUGAGUCCAUUCAGUUCAUGCCGUGACAAUUUUCUUGGAACUCCUUUUUAUUGUUAGUUCUCACUUGUUUCCAUAUUUAGUGAAUGUACAUUUAAUUGCAAAGCUGUCAUUAAUAAAAAUUCUUAUAGUACCUCAAAAAAAAAAAAA